ensembl:lncRNA
AGAGCAAAAAGGCACGAUGAAGAGCAACGGGAUUAAACGAGUGAGAGGGACGCGUUUAGUGAGAUUACGGGGCGGCAGACCCCCCAGACCCUCCCCGACGCUGGAUCAGUAGAUCAGAUCAUUCGGCUCGCUGGCUGCAAGGAGCGCAGCAGGACGGGACAGCAGCUCCUGCCUCUGCAGCAAGCGGGAGGCUCCUCUGCCCCCGGCACAGACACCUCUCGGUCCUGGGCUCGGCCCGAGUGGGGUUAAGAAGCGAGCCUUUGCCCCUCUGUAGGAGCAGGGAGCCAAGCAGCACGCCUCAGCGCUGGCUGGGUGGCUGCCAUCGCACGGACAACAGUGCUGCUGAUGCCUUCUCCAGACGAGACGCCCAAACAAGGCAGCUACCACCGGAACAGAGCAAGACAACUUGUUUAUCAGACAGAGGAAUGCUCCUCAGCAGUGCAGGGCAGGAGGAAGAGGGGGCUGCUGUCUCCAGGCCCAGCGUAGGCAGUUCAGAGAUGGCCUGCAUUGUUCUACAUCAGGAUAACGAGGCGCUUCCGCAGCCCCUUUCCUGUGGGAAUCCCAACAGGUUGUUGUCCUCCCCCUGCAGGAGGGGAAGUGUGGCACCAGGGGGGUGAAAUGUCCCAUCUGACAGAUGUCUGCACUAAGUAGUACGUUCUUCUCUCCGCCUUCGGUGCUUUUCCUAGUCUUGAGCACCAGCCUUCACCUCUUCAGCCUUCCCUCCCACGGUAGAUGCAAGCAAUGUGCGAGAUAUCUCCUAAGAAUGGAGAAAUGAGACAGCUCAACGCUGCGAUUUAGUAACAGAAGCAAAAGGGGACGUUAAUGGAAAACGAUUGCAGCUCUGAGUAAGACCCAAGAUAGGAAUUUCCCUUCUCUGUAAGAAAUCAGCUCAGAUUCUGCUGAUUGGGAUGCUCGGGAAAGGAUAUGACUAGCUCAGUGGCAGGGGCUCUCUUCCUAUAAACUGCAGAGCAAGCCAGGAUAACCAACUUGCACUUCGGCUUUGUCAGACAGACCUCGCCUUCCUUCCACAGUGAGUCCUACAGGGAGGUGAACCCAGCCAGACUGAUUCACUGAGCCCUUCCAGGUGUGUGCUCAGCCAUCCACUGGCACGAGCACUGGCGAGGGCAAAGCAAGGGCCAGGCUGGUGCACAACACCAUGCUUUUUAGGACCCUGUUCCUGCAGGUCUCUAUCCACAGAGAGUAAGGCUUGAGAAGGAAGGAAGGUGCAGGUGCACGCCUGGACCUCAUCCCAGUCUGGCUUUGGGCGUCGAUGGAGUGACUGCUGUCAGUUGUGAGGGUCACUUCUGCACACAUACAGCCCCAGCUACCAAUUCCUGAGCACCUAAAUGAGAGAACCAUGCUCUCGCAGUUUGCUGGCAAGAUAUAGCCAGCAAAUUCUGGCAGUGAAUGUGGAUGCUGGUAUAUAAAGAGAGGAUUCUGCCAAUGGGACUAAAGGGUGUUGGUGCUUUUUCCAGUGCAGGUUAUUUGGCUUCGAGUACUAGUAAAAGUUGCACUAAUAAAAUGCCUCUAUUGUGUGCAGACUCUAUCUACAGUGGGAGUGUUUGCUGGUAUCACCAGAUCCUAUAUCAGUAACUUUUUAAGGGCAGACAAGGCCACAGGAGGAGGGGGUAGGGGGGCAGCACCAGGGGCUGCUGAGGCUGAGGGGAGGACUUCUGCAUGACAGGGAUCAGUAUUGCCCCUGCAAAACACUAAAAAUGCCUCAAAGCAAAGGGCCUGCCACCUGUGCUUGGUCCAGGGCUUUGUGUGGCUAGCUUUGUGGGUCUAUCAGGACAGAGAACCCUUCCAAAACACACAGUUAGGGAACAACGAGUGCAACUAAAGGGGCCUGCAUCAGCUUUUCCACCACCCAGACCACUCACGUACUCUCCUUUGUUUCCAGGAAAUGUGAUUUCCACUCUUCCCCAGAGCUGCUGCUGGGCUCCCUGUCUCAGCCACUGUCACAAGACACACAGCAGAGUUUGUGAGAUCACUGUGGUCUGAACGGGGCUGCCUGUGCAAAACAUUUGGCUCCCAUCACCCACAGCGGGCCCAAGAGGCAGAGGGCUGUUUGUGCCACGCUCCGCAUGAAAAGCACUUUCUGUGGGCUGGAGCAGAUCACGCAGUAAGAGAGGACUUUGCCCUUUAACACUUUGCUUUCCUCUUCCCAGGCCAGCACCAGCAGUAGGACACGCAGGAGCUGUUUUGCAUACUGUAACUAAUGCCCCUGAACGCCCCUUUGUCCAUCUUGCGUCACCUGCAGUCUGAUCCCUGUCAGCUCAUGAGCACACAGAGCCUUCAAAGUUGUCUGCCAGCCGUACAGGAUGCAUUCUUAUUUCUCAGCUUUGAGCGUGUCCCAGGACUGGGACAGAGCCAGAUCACUUGCCCUUUUAUCACUCCUGCCCCCGGGAUGGCCUAAGGAGAAGGGAAGAGUGCUCUGCACUGUGUGACACAGAAGGAAGUGUAGAGCCCAGCUUUGCCUUGGCCACCGCCCCGGUGAGCAAGCAGCACAGCACCACCAGCUUGUUCGUCCAGCAACGGAGACAGGUGAUACCAAGUCCUACCUCUGAGUCAGCAAGGAGCAUGCAGUGAAGAUACAGCCUUUUCCAGUAACUGGGAUUUUGCCUCACCUGCUGAUCAGCUGCCUUGUCACAAGAGGAAGUCCUCUGAUAUCAGCGUCUUGGAAUUUUUUAAUUAAGCUUUGUCCUGGCUCCGUGGCUUUCCUUUGACUUCUCUGCCCUGGUCGGCUCACCCAGCUGCAAAGUACUUUCUACUGCUGAUGUCCUCCCAUUUGCAGGCUCCCAGUCACAGCUUCUGCUUACGCCUUAGGCUUGGCUGCUGAGGAGUCUCUUUCUCACUGCCACAGCUCUAGCAUGGUCCAAGCACAGUAUAAAGCAUCACAAAGCAGCAGGGAAGGCUACGAGCAUAUUCUGAAAUCCACAGAGGCCCCUAAAUCAAUAAGUGUAUCCAUCUGUCCCCAGUGAAUUCAAGCUUUUCAAGUUACGGCUUCGAUUACUGUAAUUCCAAAAGAUUGCAGCGGGCAGAGGAGUAUGCUUCUCUUUUUUCUAUUUUUAUGAGCAUAUGAUAGCACUCUGAUAUGAAAUUACAUGUUUUACUGUUUCCCUUGGUAUGUACAGCUGGACACAAAGCCACCCGAGGUCAGCGGAAAGAUUGCCACCAACCUCAGAGCCUCUGGCUUAGACCCAUAAUUACUUUCUUCUGUGGUUUGUUCCAGUUCUGCACCCUUACGUGUCGAAACACAGGAAAACCCAUCUGUAAAGCCACAGGGGAUGAUACCAUGUUUAACUAGUUGCAGAAAGCUUUGUAGAUUUAAAAUCUAUAGCAUCGUU